GCGGGCGUGCUGGAAGGGUAGACAGAGAGGCCUUAAACGCCUUGGGGCGCAAGCCCGUGUGGGUUCGAAUCCCACCGCCCGCACCA
rnacentral:tRNA from 1 species